GUUUAAUGGCUGGCCCUGCUGUUCUGCCUGCAACCGGGGAAGUAAAGAAUGAGGCUGAGGAAUCUCGGAGGCUGCACCACCCUUGGCCUGGCUGAAUGUGACUUCUCCUCCCCAUCCACUUCUCCAUCUUGCACUAGUACGUCCUCGUGCGUGUCCUGGGAGCCGAUCGCUGUGCUCACACUGCUGCAGGAUCCAUUGGAGGCUGGUCGCUCAUAAUUGAUCGCGAGGUAGGAUGUCCUCCUGGAUAAAGCACUAGAUUAAGGCUCAGGAGUCAAUGUCUUUAUCCUCUCCACCCACAUGCCUCAUUUUAUUAGAGCGCCAGUUCAAAAGGUCAUACAAAAUCACUGUUGAUGGCAUCAGAAAAGACACAGAAAGGUUUGAUAGCAGGUAGAUCUUCCCCCGGAUCAGCAGCUUCAUUCCAGAGCACAGAGUAAUGAUGCCUGUCAUUCACUCCUGUGCCGCACUGGUGGUCAGGAGAUCCUGCAGCUGUCUAGUGAAUCUGUAAAGUGGAGGUAAGGCCACAAGAUCCUGGUGCUUUGAGGAAUUGUAGCUUUGCUUUCCAACCCCAAGAAGUCCUCAGAAACCCAUGUUCGGAUGAGCAGUGGCCUAAACCCCUCCAUCUUCCCUACAGCACUCAUUGGGUACGUACAGCAGUUUAGGAACUUCUGCCCUCGGUCAUUCUGGACAGAAGCACAGGGUCAGACCAGUUUUGGGGCAUGGCAGCUGGGGCGCCUCCUCAGAGGACAGUCCUGUCCCCACGGGCCAUUUGGCCUCUCCUGGAUGCUGACACCAGGGGCCAAACUGGAACUAUAUCAGCUCUGUUUCACUGAGCAUCCAACCAACAAAACCAACUUGUAGCUACUGGGCACAGGACUGGCGAGCCCACUGAAACCUGGGAGUGGUGUUUGCUUGGCUGAUACCAACCUCCUGAGCGAGCAGCGGUUUGCAGCAGUUCUCGGUCUGAAUCCAGUGUGCUCAGCUGCGGAAAAAUGGAAAAGAAAGGAAUAGUUUUGGGCAGGGGCUCCCCAGCUGGUGGGUGCACAUGGCUGCUUGCAGGUGCUCUGCAAGCAAUGGAGACCCAGGGCAGCUCCUGUGUCCCAGCACAGUCCUCUUCAGGCGGAGAAGGUUUCCAGUCCUGGACUUUCACAUGAGCUCUGUUCCCUUGUUUAGCACAGAUACUCCCCAUUACCUUGGGCAAAUUGCUUUCCCCUGGACCAGCAAAGGUAAUUAGAUCUCUGUGUCCCACCGGACUCCAUGGGAGCUGGUCACUGACAUGUCUCUGAGGGUCCUUCCCACUGCAAGCCCUCCGGAUGAAUACAAGGGGACGUUAACAGCGGUUCCUUGCCUCCCCAGAGUGUUGUAAGAAAAAAAUACAGCAUGGGGAAAUUAACAGUGCUUGCAUGGGAUCAAGAGGGAGAGCGUAAGGAGGUGGUACAGAGAAACUGCGGAGGUUUGAGAGUUGGGUUUGAUUAGGCAGUGGAACUGACUGAUAAAUCAGAUCUCAUUCAAUUUGAGAAUCUGCCUGGCUGGCCAGAGGAUGGGCUCGCGCGGGAGGUGGUGGCGCACAUUGCGGGUGCUGCCCGCGCUCAGGAAAUGUAUUGGCUGCUGGAGGAGGAAUAAAAGUUAUUGACAUGAAAUUUGCUGAACCUCAGAAGAAGUUUGACUUGGGUUCAGUUCAAGCCUAACGGCUUCUCCUUUUUCCUUGGCCGGUCUGCAACUGCCCGGUCGGACCUGCCGCACGCCUGAGACGCAGCCAUGCGCAGGUGUCCGGCAAAAAGCCGGAUGGGCUGCCAGCAGCACACACUCGCCGAUCGCCUUCCCCAUAAUGCUGGCGAAGGGAAGCCUCGGCAUGCUUUGUGGAGCUCUUCAUCCUUUUCAAUGUAUGGGUAGCUCUGCUUUGCUGAGGUUAUGCUGGAUUUUUUGAAGGUGUCUGUUUGAGGCUCCUCGGAGUGGAAUGGUCUUCUCGGCCGGGAUUUUCAGCACUGUUGGGAAAGACAGGAGAUGAUGCUCCUCCUGCUUCAUGUUUCACCGUGUGCCCUAUGACUGACGCAAGAGCCAAGGUGUUCCUUUGGCUUGUUCUCUCACUGGAAAAAUCGCAGUUUAGCCUAGAGGAAACAGCAGAUGCAAAUGGUUUGGAAAUUGUAAGAGGUCUGUGUUCAUUGCUGUGAUAUUUGCUGCUGUUUCUUCUGUGUGGAUUGGAUCCCGUGGGAAGCUGCGCCCUGCAGCUCUUUCUGCUUCAGCAUCCUUUGCCAUCACUGAGGCCGGCAGUGAGUGACUUCAGGCUGCGAAGCCACUGCCGGUCCAGCCCGGCCAGCUUCUCCCUGGGAGCGAGACGCACCUUCUGCGAUACUCCCCAAAAUUUCUCUUUUCACUUCUCACUGCCUGGAACAUUUAAUAACGAAACUUCAUAGCAAGGAUACAUUUCUAGCUGUUCUGUAUUUUUCAAAUGGAGAAAGUGCAUGACUGUUCAUCUCUGGCUGAAUAUGAAAUGACACCACAUGGCAGUGGGACUGAACAAGGUCCCUCCGGCCGUGUUCGGGGAGAGGGGCAGCUCAAGAGAGAUGGAAAUACAGCUUUUAUUAAGGGGAAAAAACCCACCUUUCUCUGCUGUGGAGGCUGGCAUUAGGUUUGGAUGAAGGCAGCCUGUCUGUCCUACAAAACCUGAGACACCAGUGCAUUCCUUGGAUUGCAGCAGGACUUUAUUGGGAUGGCUCGAGUUUGUUUUCCUACACAAUGAAAGCAGCAGCACAGGGGAUAAUCCUGUCCUCAUGGCACUGGCCUGACCUGUGGUUCAAUCCCUGUUUGUCCUGACCCGAAACAGGGAACUGAACCUAAUAUCCCAUAUCUCAGAUGGGUGCUCUCGUCUCCAGCAUUAAAGUCGGACUCUUUCUCCCUGAAUAACUGCUUAAUUAUUUGUACAAAUUGGCCCAGCUCCACCCAGGAGAGAUUUAAAGAAAUGGGGCUACAAUCACCUGUAGAGCCAGGUCUUCUCGUAGGAUGCGAGAGUCCAUGUCCCUGUUCCAAGCAAGGGGCCUCUCCUGGGCUGGGGACCACCAUGGAUGGGUGCCAUCGCCCACCGGUGACGACCUGUUGGGAGAUGAUUUUACCUCUGUGGGUUUGACUAGAAAUCCAGGCUUGAGCACAGGCAACUUUUCCAAGCAAGCACUUCAUGGAAUCUGGUAGUUUGCUACCAAAAAAAAAAAAAGUUUUGGUUUUGCCGAACUGACAUUUUCUGACACAAGAAAACAUGUUGUCAAAAAACUUCCCAACCGCUCUGCUGGGAAUAUGCUCUUUGCCAUCAGUCCCCAAGGCUGGAACGCUGGGGUGUUGAAAUGUUACUACAGCCCUGGAAACUGUGAGUCAGCUUGUCCCCACCCACAGCAGAUACUCGUGGGAAGGGCCUUGAAAAGCCUGGAAACUCAGCAGCUCUUGCCUUGUGGAGUUUCCAUUAACCCAUUAACAUUAAUUUCAGGUCUGGUGAAAUGUGGUAUUUGGCAAAUUUCUGUCAGAUUUUGUCCCUUUUCCCCCCGUCCCCUUCCUAAUUGUGAUAAAUUUUGGAGGAUAUUUAAUUUCAACUCAUCCCUAAGCCAUUUGGCUGCCGUGGCCCCCAAUCACCCCCCGAGCCCUGUGGGACUGGCUGGACCUGGGCAGCGAAUGCAGCACCCAUCGCGGUGCCACUGGAUCCGGUGGGGAUUUGGAUGGGGUCACGGGGUGGCAAAACUUUCAUCCCACUUGGAGAAAAGGUGCCAGUGCAAACUUUACCAGUGCAAAACCCUCCCAGCUGUAUCGCUGUGCUGGGAUAUAAAUGCAUUGACUUGGGCAUCUCCUGGCAGGGAAGAGGGUCGUGCAGCGAUGUCCCAGCUUCACCAGGAAAAGACAUGCGGCUGCUCUGCUCCCCGUGGGGAUGCCGGCAAAAGCCGCAUGGGAGCCUGCUGUCCCUGCCAGCAGCUGGGCAGCCUGUCUGCCCACACUGGCGGUGGCCGCGGUGCAUCGUCACACAUGGCAGGGUUGCCUCGAGCGGGUCGGGGUCGGGGUGCGAUGCUGCCGUGUGCAUGCAUGCUCUGUGCACAAUCCCUGCUGCAGUGGGACGUGCAAACCCACUUUCGGGGCGUGAGGUCGGCAGGACGUGAGCUGUGCUUCCCGCAGGCGAAUCCACCGUGCUGAAGCUAAGCCCUGUUUUCAGAGCAGUUUGUGCAAACCACUGACCUCAGGCUAUCUCAGAGCCAUCUGCAAACUGCAUUUAUUGCCGACUGGGAAACACGUGAAGGUAGCAAAUUCCAGGUCUUAACUCAGCGUACAGUGAUAUGAAACAACCCGUGCGUUCCCCUGAAGCAUGCCCUCGCGUAUGUCCCAGGAGCGGUGGCAAAGGGCGGCUACAACUUGAGCCCAGAAGAGCCCGGAUGGGCUUUGCCGUGGCUGCAGCCCGCCCGGGACGGUGGCACGUGCCGAGGAGGUGGGGUGAGAUCACAUCCUCUGCAUGAAGAGUUUCAAGAUGCCCAGGUCUGGGAGCAUGGAGUCCAGCGGUUGUGAAAUUCUCCAUACAGGAAAAUUCUUCAGACUUUUUUUUUUUUUAUUUAACUUUGGAUUUAUCAAAAUGCCUUGUUCUGAUUUUAGCUUUUUCCAUUUUGAAGACGGUCCAAAGUCCUAUCACAGUGUGUUACCGCACAGAGUAUAACAUUUGCAAGAGUAAAAUGAAAAGUCGGUUUGAACUGGAAAAUCACGGCAAUGUCAUUAAAACAAAGGAAACGGGACAUUCUGAUGUUGUCAAAACUUUUUUUCUCUGGUUCCUUUCAAAAUCAGCUUCCAGCAAAACCAGCCUGAUUUUAUGAGGCAUUUUAGUUUUUGGCAGAGCCCCUCGCUCUGCCGCAGCAGUUUUGUCGUGGUUUCUCUGGCUGGGCUCGUGCGCUCUGUGCCCCCAUUCCUGGGCGGUGAAACGGGUGUGCAGUGUGUCCCCCAGCCUUCACUGCCCCUCAGCAUCGAGUCAACGGGGUCCCCGUCUCAACCCCAUUUCCCAGGCAUUAAAAUAGUCUACCAUUUGGGCUGUUAAAACAUUACUUAAAUGGCAGUUAUUAAUUUUGUGUUUUACCUCUGCAUCUUUCUCUUUGACCGGAAAUGUAUGAAAUACUAGAGAGAAAAAAAAGCAGAAAAUGAUGAGAUUAUUUUUCCUUGCUGAAAACCCUGAGCGUGGCCAUCCGUGCUUGCAGGUUUGGGCUCUGCCGAUGCCUUUGACCAUGCUGGCAUGGAUGCAAUGGCAGCUCUGGCCCCUCUCCCCCCACCCCGGCUGCAGUUUGGCUUUGGGAAGACGUUGGUGCUGGUGCCCUCCCGGCCACCCACGGUCCUCCUGGGCCCAAGAGGAUCUGGCUUUAUAUAGUACCUGGGAGAUCCAUGUCAGAUUACGACUGGCAGGUUUUCAAAAGCUUCUCUCCAGCUUUUGUGCCAAGACCUAUAGGAUGCGUUCCAGAGCAUCUCCCAGGAAUGUUUGUUAUUAUGACAGGCAAGAAAAAAGCGGGGGGGGGGAGAACCGGCAGUGAAAGAGCACAUUGCUGUUAAUUACUAGAAAUCCUUUAAUAACCAACAUUACUAUAAAUUAUAUGUGCAUUAUGACAAGUACAAUUGAGUGCUCUGUUUUUCUUGCCCACGUUAGAACACAGAACAAUGUACUCUUGUUGCAAGAGCUGAAAUGGAUGGCACUCUGGGUGAAAUCAGGACUUCUCCAUCGCAUACCUGUGCCCGCAGAGAUGGUCGGCUGCCCCGGGCCCCAUGAAAGCUCCAUUGUUCUUCAUGCCAUAUUGCACGCACCAUGAUUAUAAAGUGUUGGAUAAGCAGUAAGAUGUUGCUUGCUGAAAUAAUAACCUAUCCUUAGUUUAAACAGUGCUAUAUUUAAGAUGUAUAUAUAUUUAAAUGUUGGUAAUUGCACAUUUGUGACAUAUUAUAAUUUGGAUGACAGUUUGUAAAUACGAUAUUGGAAAAAAAAGCAUCAGCUGCAUUUAGGGAGGUAAAUCUUGGGGUCAUGCAGGACAGGUCGAUCGAUGUGGAUUUUAAACAAGUGCUGGAACCUCUCUGGAGCAGCCUGGGGAUGGGCAGGGAUCCUGCCUGGGUCCAAGAUCCAGGAAAUCCCCAUUUCUGCUUCCACGUCUGAAGCUGAACCUUUUUUGCAGCCCUUCCCUGCCUUUUAACUUGUCUUUAUUCCCUGACGUGAAAAAAGGCUAAUAGCAUUUUCCUACCACAGUGGGAUGUUGGCCGACACUCGUAAAUAGCUCUAAAGUGUGACAGAGGUGUAAAAUGUCACUGCUCCGCAGGUUGGUGAGAACGCUGGGGUUUAGCGUGGCCAUCAUGGGACGUUAUUUCCACGCAAAGUGAGUCAGUACCCAAAUAACAUAAUUUGUUUUUAAUCCCAGUUUGGUUUCUACAUAGGGAGGGAGCCCAUCAGAGGAGGACAGCACUGCACGGGACCAUCAAUCCCCUCUCCACAGCAGUUCAGAAAGCCAGUGGCAGAGGGAGCAGGUCCCUUACAGGAUUUAUAUGAUUUUUUACAUUGCAUUUUUAACAAGACAAACGGCAUGUUUCCUAAAACCCACCCAAAAAGGGCAGGUAAAAAGGAGCUUUGCCCGUGGUCCUACAGGUCAGUAGGGGCAGAAGUGACCCCAGAAUCAAAAGACCUGUUUACACAUUAUACUUACGAUGGUGCAAACCUCCGUGGCACACGCAUUGAUUUUAAAUGGAGUAUUUUGGAAUCCCUUACUUUCAGAUGAUGCACACAAAUUAAGUUUGUCGUAAAAAAAAUUGUACUAACUUAACUGAGUGUAUUUAACUUAUGUUCUUAGGCGUAUUAGCGCAGGUUUGGGGAAAUGUGGGCAUAAGCCUCCAGUUAUGGCAAGAGCUACCCAAAGAUGCCAAGAGAAAAACUACCAACAUUCAGGUUGUCUACCAUCUGUUGGCUGAAAUACUUUUAUUGUUUUGUUUUGGGGUUGUUAUGGCUUUUUUUUUUUCCUAGCUGGUCAACUGCUGGGAAAUAAAAUUGCCAAGAUUUA